AGCAGCCGCGGUAAUUCCAGCUCCAAUAGCGUAUAUUAAAGUUGUUGCAGUUAAAAAGCUCGUAGUUGAAUUUCGAGACCGGCUUACUGGUCGUGCUAUUGUACGUACUGGUCUUGCUGAUUCCUCCCUCUUGACGAGCCGUAAUGCCAUUAAUUUGGUGUUGCGGGGAAUCAGGACUGUUACUUUGAAAAAAU
rnacentral:rRNA from 1 species